AACACAAGGGUUGGAAACAAAAAAACACACGACACACGGGCACGCAUCGAAGGAGAGCCGGGGUACGGCCGCCGCCGCCGCCACCUGCGGAUGGUCUUCCUGUCCGGCCACCUGCGCAGCCCACGCGGGCGAGCUGCCGAUCUGGCUGGGCUGCCUGGCCACGCAGCGGAUGGCAGCGGUUCGAGCAACUCCUCGACGCAGGGGAAAAGGUUGGCGGCGCUGGAGUUCGUCGGAACGUGCAGGCGGCCGUUGGGUGACGCGAGGCCGCGACACCGGCGCAAGGAAUACGGGCAGAUCCGGGGGCAGCAGCGACCGAUCUGGCUGCUGGUGCGGCGGCUUGCUCCGGCGGCGGCGGCGUCCUGCUCAUUCAUAGAAAGAGAGACAGGGCGUGAUGGAGAGAGGAGGAAAGGAGAAGGAGCAGGGGGUGCAAGGUCAGGGAGGCUGUCGCUAGCGGUGGCGGCUCCGGCGACCGGCCGGCGGGCUUCCAGGCAAGGCUAAGGAGUACGCUAGCCUGAGAUUCAAUAGAGACACGGUGAUUCUGGUCGGAGCCGUGGCUACGUGAUUCUGGCCGGCGUGCAUCCAUAGUCAGAGGACGCCGAGCCUUCCUCGUUGCAAGCAACAUCAGCUCGUCUCGGCAUGAGGUUGAGCAUGGCAAUAAUGUACAGUUUGAACUUCGUGCUGGCAGAACUUUUUCGCCUUGAAGCAUUCUGUGAAUUACACCAUGAAUAGCAACAACAUCAGGCCAUUUGAGAGAAGGGGUGUCCCUGGAGUUCUCCCUAAAUCUUACUGCAUUCUUAGUGACAAUGAGGAAUUAUUAUUCACUUGAGAAAAUAAAGAUUAAAUGUAGGAGUGUACGCCUCAUUCAAAGAAGAGGCUCAACAAUCUUUUGGAUGGACUUAUGAUUACCACAUAUAUGAUCUUAUGAAGCAGGAGUUGAGAACUACAAAAUCCAUCUAUUCCUGGAAUGGAGCUGGUUGAAGUUGGACCUUCAAUGGACCUGAGGGGAAGAUAGCCUUCCUGGCAGUUAGAGCUUCGUCACUUGGAAGGUAGGCAAGCAAUGCAAGCCAACAAAGAAAAUUAGUUAGGGACGCACCAAGUUCGCCGGAGGUAGCAGAACGUUUGUCGAGCCAUCCAAUAUCACCAACGGUGGCUACAUCAGAGAUAAUUUGCUUCAGUUCAUCGAACUACCUGCUGAAACAUGUGUAUUGUUUCUCAAUAUAUUGGGCAUCAAUCCACCUCUCAUGAGAUCUCUGAAUUUUCGACGCAUAUUGUAUUUGCUGAAUUAUUUCCUCCAGAUAACUAUGCUUGGAUUCACAAAUGCGUGCAAUGCUUUCAAGUAUAGGUUAGUUCAAUACUUAAGUUGUGCUAUUCCACUUUGAAGGUUUUGGUCCUAGAAGUGUAAUACUUGGUAGGUUAGCUGCAAAAGCGGAAUGUAUAUGGCCUGAAUUUAUAUUUUGACCCCUUGCGUUCUAAAACGUUUUGUUGUAUCGUUCUGUCCUGAAAGAAUAGAAGCAAUUCUUCUAUGUGAGAGAAUAUAAACGUUAUUCGCAAACAACAUGCGGCGUCAUUAAG